GGCAAAAGAGUCGUAAGCGAGGGCACCAGAUAACAUCGACUGGGACACGGUGUUUCAUCUCUCUCUCUCUCUCUCUCUCUCUGGUCGCGCGCUCUCCUCCUCGCUCUCACUUCCUCUCCCGAUUUUUUACCUACUUGUCGAAGAAGUUUGAACAACCACCAAACUGCCUUAAAUGGAAGUAAAGGCAAUGGAAGUGAAGAAAAUUAUAGCAAUAUGCCAAUCUGGUGGGGAGUUUGUGACCAACAAAGACGGGUCUUUGUCGUACUCCGGGGGUGAGGCCUUUGCUAUAGACAUUGAUCAGCACACUCAGUUGAAUGAUUUCAAGUUGGAAAUAGCAGAAAUGUUUGAUUUUAGUGUUGAUAAUAUGAUUAUCAAGUAUUUCCUUCCUGGUAAUAAGAAGACCCUCAUCACAAUUUCCAAAGACAAGGAUUUGCAGCGCAUGGUGAAUUUUCUGGGUGAUUCUGUCACUGUUGACGUGUUUAUCAUGCCAGAGGAGGCUGCAGCCCGAAAUGUAUCCAAUAUGCCUGCUAGUAGGUCGAGCAGGACGACUGUGUCGGAAACAGUGCUUCCUGUAGUUGCCCCUCUUAAUAUUCAAGAUGAUGCAGCUAAUGGCAAUAAUUGUAUGGAUAUCGACAUAGUCAGUGGAACCCCUAUAAGCUACCUUGCUGGUUCAGAUGAUGACAAGCAUCGUAAAGCUGCACAACAGUGGGAAAACACCAUCACUGGUGUUGACCAAAGAUUUAACAGUUUCAGUGAAUUCCGAGAAGCUCUGCAUAAAUACUCAAUUGCACAUGAGUUUGCUUAUAGAUAUAAGAAAAAUGACAGCCAUCGCGUCACUGUCAAAUGCAAAUCCCAAGGUUGUCCUUGGCGAAUAUAUGCAUCAAGGUUGUCUACGACCCAGUUGAUUUGUAUCAAGAAAAUGAACACACAACAUACAUGUGAAGGAGCUGCUGUAAAAGCUGGGUAUCGCGCAACUAGGGGUUGGGUGGGAAGUAUCAUAAAGGAGAAGUUGAAAGUUGCCCCAAACUACAAGCCAAAGGAUAUUGCAGAUGACAUCAAACGAGAGUAUGGGAUUCAAUUAAAUUAUUCUCAGGCAUGGCGUGCAAAAGAGAUUGCAAGGGAGCAGCUUCAAGGUUCUUAUAAAGAGGCAUAUAAUCUGUUGCCCUUUUUCUGUGAGAAGAUAAAGGAAACUAACCCGGGGAGUGUCGCCACAUUUACCACUAAGGAUGACUCAAGCUUCCAUCGUCUCUUUGUAUCAUUCCAUGCCUCAAUGUCUGGUUUUCAGCAAGGAUGUCGCCCUCUCCUUUUCCUUGAUAGCACUUCACUAAAUUCGAAAUACCAAGGGGUUCUAUUAUCUGCAACAGCUGUUGAUGGCGAUGAUGGUAUCUUUCCAAUAGCCUUCGCUGUUGUUGACGCAGAGACUAAGGAAAACUGGCAUUGGUUUGUAAUGGAACUUAAAUCUGCAGUGUCAACGUCUCAGCAGAUUACAUUUGUUGCUGAUUUUCAGAAUGGUUUAAAGGAGUCAUUGGCUGAGAUAUUUGAUAAAUGCUACCACAGCUAUUGCUUACGUCAUCUUGCUGAGAAACUUAAUAAGGACUUGAAGGGGCAAUUUUCUCAUGAGGCAAGGCGAUUUAUGAUUAAUGAUUUAUAUGCAGCUGCUUAUGCACCCAAACUUGAUGGUUUUAAUCGUAGUGUUGAGAACAUUAAAGGGAUUUCUCCUGAAGCUUACAAUUGGGUCAUACAAAGUGAGCCGGAGCACUGGGCAAAUGCAUUUUUUGGGGGAGCAAGGUAUAACCUAAUGACAUCAAACUUUGGACAACAAUUCUACAGUUGGGUAUCGGAAGCGCAUGAGUUGCCAAUAACACAGAUGAUUGAUGCAUUGCGAGGUAAGAUGAUGGAAUCUAUCUAUAUGCGUAGGGUAGAUUCCAGUCAAAGGACAACAAAGUUAACACCAUCUAAAGAAGAAAGGCUACAAAAGGAAACUUCAUUAGCUCAAUCACUUCAAGUGUUACACUCACAUGGUAACACAGUUGAGGUUCGCGGAGAAUCUGUUGAUGUAGUUGAUAUUGAUCAUUGGAAUUGUAGCUGCAAGGAAUGGCAAUUAACUGGUUUGCCUUGCUGCCAUGCUAUUGCUGUCUUUGACUGCAUUGGUAGGAGCCCAUAUGAUUAUUGUUCCAGAUACUUCACAGUCGAAAAUUACCGUUUAACAUAUGCGGAGUCCAUUCACCCAGUUCCAAAUGUAGACAGACCAAUCGAGGGUGAAUCAGUUGAUGCAAUAGUUACUGUAACCCCUCCACCUACAAAACGACCACCAGGCCGACCAAAGAUGAAGCAGGCUGAAUCCAUAGACAUUAUUAAACGCCAGCUCCAGUGUAGCAAGUGCAAGGGCCUAGGCCACAAUAAGAAGACAUGCAAAGAUUCCUAGUAGAAAUGUUAGGACAUUGUUAAUUAGAUUCAGCAUCAAAACGGCAGCAUUUUAAAAAGAGACAGCAAAGACAUGACGCUUGGUAUCUUCUUUGUCCAAUGUAUGAACCUGUACUGAGUUUUUCCUUCUGAUCAGCAAACCAUGUUCUGGCCUGGGAAAAUUAGAUGCAAUUUGAGCUAGUAAUCAGGAGCUUUUCUUGCUGAAGAGAUGACCUUGAUGUUAAUGUUGGUAUCUUACUGGUGAUUUUGUGGUGUCUGGGAGCGCUCUCACAACACACCUUACAUCAGUUUCGGACAACAGCCAUUUUCCCUACACCCAAACCUUUAUAUAGAUCAGCAUAUGUUGUAGACACGUGAAGGCUUCAUGGUGAUUCUAUUGACCUCUAUAUUUUUUACUUUUAACAUCAGGGCAAGAUGCUGUUUCCACCUGCAAAUCAAAUGGUGUUUUACACUUUGCAUCCAAAACUACCAAAACGAACAUAUAACACGUUCAGACUGCUAAAAAAUUGCAAUGUGCACCAUUUGUUCAGAUUCAUCCAUCUUAAGGACCAUAAUUGGACAAGUUUGCUACUUGCUAUUAUCAGUGUUAGUAGUUAGAGGGUAUGACGUGUCAGUUUUGAUAGUUUUGUAAGGUAUAAAACAUCCUCUAGUAUGUGGGUGGAAACUGUUUUUUCCUCACUAUAUUCUUAUAAAAUUGUACUGUUGUUACCUUCCAUGUUCUACAGUAGACUUGUAUGAGCAAAAUUCUGAUUUCUUUUGGCCAGAAAUUAACUUGCAGAUGGCUCUCCUUUUUGAAAACCUGUAAAGAGGAUUGCGUCUACUGUUUCCACAGUUAUAACCAUCUCUUCCUUGAUGAUUAUUAUAGCCUUCUUUUUCUUUUUUCUUUUUUUUUUUUUUUUUUUUUUUUUUUUUUUUUUUUUUUUUUCCUAGAUAGAUUAUUAUAGCCUUCUUGAUAUACUUGACAGUACAUAUUUGUGAGCAGAAACGUAUUGCAACAUUCAUUGGGCCAAACAUGUAACUUGAAGAGCUCUCCCAGCUGAAAUAUGCAAAUUGAUUUUGCUCUUAUUUUGGAGUUGUAACCAUUACCUCCUUGAUAUAUGUUAUAAGUUAUAACCUUCAACAUUCUA